GCAGCUGAAAUGUUGUAGGCUUGGCUGUUUGACAUGACUCUGUGAUCUCCAUCCUUGCCUCCGUGGAGCAUCAGUGACUUGCAGACUGCAGUUUGAUGACUGUCUUGGUUCCCGUGCAUGCUUCUGCCAGCCUGAAAGCGUUAAUCUUUCUGCCAACUGAAGAGGAAGAAGGAAAAACAGGAGCCUUACAAGAGCUCUCUGUCACUGCUGCGUAAUCCAAUUCAAGCCUUUGGUUGCUCUAGAAAAGUGGCAGGAGCUCUGCUUGUCACCAUUAACCUCGACCAUCAGGGUGAGCCCGCAGGAAGAAGAGGCUCUGCAACUUAUUACUUUGACCCCAUAAACAUGCCAGUGUCUCCAGUAACCUCAAGUCUCUUGAGGCCCUCUCAUCUUCUCUCCAAGGUCUCUUCCUAACUCAUGUUCCCAGAACUGCUUGUCAUGCAGGAUUAUGCUGCUGUUUAACUCCAGAUGUCCUAGAAGUCAGAGUUGAAUAUUAGGCUUCAGAAGAAAAGGGUUCACCUGCUUGUGUUGUUCUGGUUUAGAGGACUCUUUGUUGUGGUCAAAGUACAACAGCAUCCUAGAGGCUUCACCAGGGCUGCAGGAAUGGAACGUGCGCAGUCAUCCCUUUGGGUCCUUGAAGAGGCGUGAACCAUUUUGUGCCAAGGAGCCACCAGCCAAGGUCACAGCCAAGCACUGGACUUUGAAUACCAUCAGGCAGCACCCUAUUGACUUUGUGUGUGGCUGGAGGUUUGCCCAGCUCGGCGCCGCACGUCGGUUUGAGCCAGCACUUCAGGAACUGAUCAACGCUGCUUUCAUCCCAGGAGUUCAAGGUGCUCAGCAAACAGCUGAACUUCAUUUGACCUACAGAACAAGGUUUUGGCCAGACACACUGCUUUGGGGUGUUAUGAAUACGGCCGCUAGGACUAUUUGAUACCAGGCCUCAAGCUGGCAGAGCUGGCUGUGAAUAAUGUGGCACAGAGAGUUAUUUGACAAGAAGAAUGGGACAUGCACACCUGCAAGCAGAAACCCCAAUGCUUCUGGGAAAUAAAGGCAAAGAGAGGUGAGGGUGAAGCACCAGCGACAGCCCCAUCCUGGUGUGGUGACACCAUUUUCUCUUUGAGUGAAGAUAUAAGAGACUACAGGAGGGGAAAAAAUGCUGGGCCUUUUUCCAGCUUUUUAUAGUUUCCAAUUAAAAGCAUUGGCCAGUGUCUCCUGAGACUUGUGGAAAUGCACCGACAGCACAAGCGGGACUGAUGACCCUGUCUUCACGUCUGCUGGGCUCUAGUGGAUGUUUUUAAGCACCAGAGCACAGGUAUCAUGGGCCCAAACACAUCCAAACUGAGUGGUCCCUGUGAGCCGAUGAAGGUGUAGCCAGGCCUGGAAGUCGGGCUCAGCAUCCCCAUGGAAAGUCCUUGAUUUAGAGUAUCUCCAACACUUCAGAGUUUAAUUUAGGGAAAGCUCUUUCUGGUGGUGUCACCUCCCCUUCUCUUGCUGUUGUUAUUCUCACUUAUUAUUAACAAAAAAAUUAAAAAUGCUGAUUUCAAAAUCCCCUGUAUUUUUCCAGCACACCCCAGGAGGUGUGAGUCCAGGAUGGGGUCUGUGUCUGAGGCGAGGGUGGAUGCGGCUCCCUCAGUGUGCUUGGGCUAUUCAGCUGCUAUUUGUACUGGUGGUGAUUUACACCUGGGUGAUCUUCUCAGCCUGCUGGGUUAUUUAUGACUGAUCUUUCUGGAAAAAAAGUACUUCAGCCCUUAAUAGGUGUAUUGCUUUUGGCUAAGCAUGUGGGUGUCAGGGGUAGAAAACUAUCAGAGGAGUAACCCAGCAGUUUACUGUGUCUCAGGACUUCAAGCUGAGAACAAAAAAAGAGAAGCUGCAUCACCGGCGUGCACUUGUAAAUGAUAAGUUGAGCCAAUUAUAUGUGCCUCAUUCAUCUUUUAGAUAAGAAGCAGAGAGAAAUGUUUUUUCUAUUUCCAUAAUCAUGCUGCUACCUCGACAAAACGUGAUAAUCCAUAAUAAGCUGGGAAGAGAAUUAAAUGGAGAACAGGAUCUUUUGAUGACUUGCCGGUUUUCUCUAGCAUCAUUCAUACAGGUUAUUGACGUAGGACCAAUUUUUCAUCCUCUCUUUAACAGGACUUCCAUGAUUACAGUUGAAAAAUGGCUGGCACAAAUGUUUGCAGGCACAUUUUGGUACCUUAAUUUAAGAUUUCCUCAGAUUUACAAGUCCUUAAUUGUACCUACAAGUCAGGUAACCAGGAAAUAAUGUCAUAUACAAACAGCUGCAAAUAUUCCUUCUGUGAGACUGGGAGCUCUGGCCCUCGAUAAACACAAAGUGCAUUUUUUCCCUUUCAAAUGCUCCCAGUUUGACACCCCUAUUGUCCAGCAAUGAAGUGGAAAUAAAUGUCUGAGCCAUCAGCUCCUUGCAAGACUGAGAUGUUUUUCAGAAAGUGGCUGGAAACAGAAAACCCCAAAUUUGGGAGCAAAUUUGUGGAGUAAAAAACAGCUUACUCUGAAUUUUCUAAAGCUUUGGAAAAUACUUUAAAAUACCAUCACUCCUGGGGUAACUGGGACACCUGUGUUUUCAGCUCUGCAAGGAGUGUGCACCUUGGCCACCUCAAAAAGUCCAUAUUUUGGGUUUCUUUUCCCCCAGCCCUUUAUCUGAGCCUGGACAUGUCUCCAACCCUGGCAGGACAGAGGAGAUCUGCAACCAUGUGCUGAAUACAACAUCGCCAGCUGAUGAUUUUAUGUCUCUCCUGGGAGACCAGAACUUAUUUUGUGAUAAAACACCAAUCUCAUUCAAAAAUAAUCCUCCAGCCCUUGCAUUCACAGAAAAAAAAAAAAAAAUUGCAAGGGCUGAGAACCCAAAAUUUAUUAUUUCCAUUAAACUUCUUGCAAUUCUCUAAAGGUUCUUUUCCUCUGGAUGCUGAUGUGCCCCUCAUCAGGUACCGUGGUGAAGGACACCUCUCUGGCCACCAGGUCCCAUGGCAGCGAGGGACCACAGUGCUGAUGGUCCCUGUGCCAUGCUGGGGACUGGGGUUUCCAGCAGAGAGAUUAUGGUGCUUUACGGCAUAAAUGCAUCACCCCGGCAGCCCCCUUGUAAGGAACAUGAGUGAAGGUGAGUGGGUAAGCAUCCUCAUCAGAGUUAGUUGGUUUUGGUUUAUUCUUUUCUUUUUCCUUAGCUUCUGAAGUCACUCAAUUUGAGGUUGCAAUGCACAAUGCAGUAAAUAUGACAGCAAUAAUGGACUUUUUUUUUUUUUAAGUAUUUUCUUUGUUAUUACUCAUUGAUUGCCUUAGAGAAAACUCCAGUGGGACUGAAGGGAGGACAGAAAUUCUUUCUGAAUAACAUUAAUUCCUUUUUUAUUUUUUUAAGGAGAUUUAGUUGGAUUUUUCUGCUCUUUCCAAGUAGAAGCUGCAGGGGUGGAGUUUUCAUCAGCUCAGACAUCUCAGCUAGAGCCAUUAAGAGAUGGACAGAGGGGAAAAACCUUUACAGAAAAUCUUUUUGACUGACAGUUCCCAGAGGGUCCCCCUGCUUUCCCCAGCACUGGAGCUCUCAGGGGGCCAGACCGUGUAUGAAUUAAACUUUGGAUGUAUGUGCACAUCAGAGACAAGCCAUCAGCAGCAAUUUGCAGUUUGUACAAAAUAAUGCAACAUCGUGAGAAAAUUAAACGGAGCACCUUUUGUGUAAAGCUACCCCAAGGUACUUUGCAAAUAAAACACACUAAAAUGCCAUGUGCAAAUUCUGCCCUCCACCAAAUGAUAAAUAUUAAGCGCUGAAACAGAAAGGAAAUUUAUGCUUGAACCUGCACGCAUUUAUUGAUUUUUAUUCCAUCCUGACUGUGGUUAAAAUCCAGAUUGAAAGAACAGCCCCACCACUAAGGGGGUGUCCACCAGCCUGUGGGCCACCCUUUGGUUAGACACGUGACGUGGAUGGUUUCAAGCAAUGACUCCAACAGCAGCAUUACUGUCUUGCGUAGACACAAGGGUUUCAAGACUGCGCAAUGCUGUAUAAAACUCGUCAAAACAACUUUCAAGCAUCUCCACGUUGGAGGGGAGCAAGGUGGCCCAUGGGGCUGUUGGCACAAAUGGCCUCCAUGCUGCUGGGGGUGGGAGCUUUUUCAGGGACACCAGAACAUGCCGGCCUUGAGACGGUCUCAUCUACCGGGCUAGGAAAGCAUGCAAAGUGGAGCAAUAAAUAGAUCAGGAGCAAUAAGAAAUGCUGAGGAGGAGAUAAGAAAAGAGCCUAACAAAGUUCAUGGUUUGCGCAAGGUGGGCAUUUCCCUCAUCAGAAUGGCAAAAUACGCCCAGUCUCCUUGUAAUGCCUUGCUGACUAUUCCCCAUGUAAGCCUGGUCAAGAGUAGGGUGUUUCCCUUUUUUCUCAAAAAGCCGAUCCAUACCUUCAUUGUGGUUUGUGGGUUAAAGUCACUGACAUUUUGAGAGUGCAAAUCAGCUAUGCCUGCCACAGAGACAGCAGAGAUUUACCACCAUCAUUUAGUGCACCACUCUGAUUAAAGGGGCUUGUCCUUUUCACUUCACUGUAUUUAUGAUUUUCAAAUAAUAAAGCAUUCAGGCAGAAAUUAUGGCUCUUUUAAGCUAUAGAUACGUCCACGUUGAUCUCCUGUAAACGUACCUGAGGGCUGGAAGUUCAUCAGUUUGACUUCAGAAAUGAAUCUGAACUAGAGCCAAGCCAACAUUGGACCUAGACCAGCUUGGGUUUAUACCAGCUUUACAACAAGCCUUUUGCUUUGGAACUUCAGGCAAGGCACAGCCCGUUUGUGUUUCAGUCUUGGCUUCACACAACCUAGCACUGCCCAAACGUUUACGAAUUUUUAGUGAAAACUCUUAACACUGUAAAACGGUAACUAGCCCAAGCUCAGUAGGAUCAGCCCACAGAUGGAUAUUGAAGCCGUGCUUUGCCAUAAUACGCUCCUGCUCAAUUUAAGGGGGCUGUGGAUAUCCAUGAGUGAUGAGUCCAUUGAUAGAAGGAAAGGGACAGUGACCUUGGCCAGGCUACGGAAACAUGGUGACAAUGCCCAUCCACAGGUACAGAGAUGUGCCACACCUGCGGAGCUGAAACAGGGUCAGAAUGACUUUGUUCCUGCAGUGCAUGGGGACGGUCAGCCACACACACAAAUCCUUUGGUAAAUCCCAGGCUGGUCUGGCACGUAGCAUGAGUAAUAGCUAACACAUUUUGAAACACAACAGUCCUUGCCCAGAAUAGGGCCAAUGUGAAGCUUAGUGCCACAUUAAUUAACACAGCUGUUAAAGCAGUUUUCCUCAGCUCAGACCCACAGCAUCCCCAACCCAGCCAUCCCCUCCUGGGGACAGGAAAAUGAAUGUAAAUUUGUAUUUAAUGGUGGUAUCAGGAACAGACAGAGGCUUUCGUUGUGACUGACGGACAGGCCUAAGAGCAGCUGCAUCUUCUCUGACUGGGACAGAAUGGAUUUAGACCUUGUGGCCAUAUGUUUCCUAGCAACAGGUCCUCAGUGGAAAUGGGGGAUCAAGGGACGCUUUCCCUUCCAGCACUGGGCAUCAUGAGCCAUGCAAGGCAUUGGCCUUGAAUAACCCAGAUUAUAACGAGUGCAGCUGAACUCCAGGAUCACAAACAGGCCUUUUUGAGAUGAAGCAUGACAGGAUCAUGACGGAUGCUCUGGACAAACUCCAGAGAAGUCACCGAGCAGACAGUGUGCAGGAUCCCUCUUACAACACUUCCAAAGAGAUAACACCUGGGCAUUGACCAAACUCACCCAAUGCUGCCAAGCCAUAAGGGUGAGGGCACAGCCUUGCCCUUGUUUGUACACUGCAAGGUAGAUUUAGGAAGCAGAUGUUGUUAUUGUUUCCACUAACCAGUUUUUUCAGGCAGCCACUAUUUGCACAGGUGACACGACGCAUUCCCACUUCUGUUUGUAGCUUCAUCUCAAAAGGUGCCAAGAGCCCCACAACACCCUUACCUGGUCUUUAGGUGUCAUAUUCUCAAUAUGCCUAAAGUUAAGCUCUUGGAGCAGGUAUUUUUGUUAAAUUUAUUUCUACUGAGCCACUUCAUUGGAAAUUCAUAUUGAUCUAUGAACAUCACGGGCCAGUCUCUGUCCUGCCAUUUUGAUGGCUGCAGUGGAAGAGCAGAGCAGAGAGCAUCCCCCCGGCCCAGUUCAGAGGAUGACCCUCUCCAUUGACACAAUUGAUUUUUACAAUAUCCUUCAUCAAUACUGAAUGUGUGAGCUACCUUUCCCUGUUUCUAUCAGACCUGAAGUCCUCACUGAAGCAGAGCAAUUGUGGGAAAGACUUGUGUCUCCUUCCAAGCCUGCCUGUAGGCUUAUAGGUCAUGCUUGCAAUAGGAAGGGAGAGUAUAUACCAGGAAAGCAUCAGGUUCUUAGUUUCGCACAUCUGAAAUUGCAGUGAAGGAGCAGUGUGGUGUUUACUGAGAGAGGCCAGGCCAUCCCUGUCCUCAAUGGUUUGCAGGACCCAGCUUGGGAAACCCUGGUCCUCUACAAUGACCCUGCUCCAAGCGAGGCUACAGACCUCCUCAGGAUUACCUUGUGACCCUACAAGCCCAAAGUCUCUCCUGGGGCACCUUCCUCAGUGCUGGGUAAAUGAGGGAUAAUCACAUCAUUAUUUUAGAGGGCUGAACCAGCCCUGACUGCCAAAUACUUCCAUCUCCCUUUUGCCAGGGAUAACACCAUGCCCUAUGUGUGCUUUUUCCUAUCACUACAAAGGCCCUUUCUUAAACAUGGUGUUAUCUGUUAAAAAAAAAAAAAAAAAAAAAAAAAGGCAAAAAUCCCCACAAAUAAUGUCACAAGUUUAAAGGAAUUAGGUGAUGGACCCAUCACACAAACCCGUCAGAAGGAGUUGGAACCUGAAUAGCCGCACAGCCCUAAAUAUCCUAAUGUAUUUUAGAGUGGUCAUUUCUAGUUAGCUCUUGAAACAAACACCCUACUUAGCCUAAUUAGAGACAUAACAAAAAGCUAUUUGAGCUCACAUGCAUAUUGAAUAUAGAGGAUCUCUGGCAUCUAGUGCUGCCCUUCUCCACAAAGCAACAGCAAGCAAAGCCUCUCAGCAUCCAGCAGGACAUAAACUGGUCUCAGCACGGAUGUAAACUGGUCCCAGGAAGCCAAUGUGUUGAAAAUCUGCACCAUUAACUCCAUUAAGAUGCUUUAAAUGUAAAUCUGAAAGAUUUUUAUGAGAGUUGUGUUACUGUGGGGAAAACAAAGGAAAUCCAUGGUUUAGGAGAUAUCUUGUUAAUUUUUUGCAUAUUCAACCCAGCUGCAUGGGCAGCUAAUUUAGAGCUGAUGAAACAAGGGUUAAAAGUACCAUGCAGCCCUGCAGAGCUGCCAGGCAAUAGAAAAUAGGUGCCAUUUCUAAACCUUGCUUUUUUUAAGAUGAAGUAGGAACACCACCGCACACCCACGAGGCAUGGAGCAAAUGCUGAAAAACCACUCUGCUUCGUUUUUACACGCCUCAUUUUCAGAGAUGGAUGUAGCCAAGUGCUGGGAGGAUUUCAUUGUGAAUGAAGAGAAGGGGAGCUAUCAGCUCCAUGGAAACCCGGCCAGCUGCUGGGAUUGGCGGCGCCGUAUCCAGGCUCGGCAGCAGCGUUACCACUGAAAGUACAAGUGUUGUUAAUAUUUAACACGGUGCAGGGACGUGGUAAAACCUAGCAACCCCACGGCAGCGGUUAUGCAAUUUUCCAUUAAUAGCUCAAAGGGAUUCAGCAUCGUCUUAACAUUCCCCCCCUCCAUGUUUCUAUAUAUGAGGGGUUUUUUUCUUCACCAUUGCUGAAUCUUAAAGUGAGAGGAAACAAAGAAAUUUCUAUUACAUAAUAUAGACUUACAGCCAAGUCAUACUCCUGCUGUUUUGGAAACAUUUGAGUGGCCAAGUCAAAAGCUAAGAAAAGCCAUGUGAUAGGAUCCUAUUUUUUUCUUUUGCUCUCUUCCAUUUUCUAACUUCCCAGUUAAAUACAUUCAUUUGCUCCAAGAUCUUUUGCACCUCAUUUAUUACUGAGCUGUUAAGUAAGUGAGAUCUCUGGCGGUGAUGAUUCUAUCACACCGGUCUAGAAAAGGUAGGAUUAUGCAUGAUUGCCCUAUUUCUUAAAGAAAAAAUUAGGUUCAUUGAAGGUGAGGGUUUGGUUCAGACAUCACACGGGUUUUGCAUGCUGUACAUCACCACCAGAUAAGGGUGAUCCACCUCAAUCUGUUUGCAGCGUCAUGGGGUAACACCAGUGUGGGCUCACUCAUGGGGGUGCUCAAGUCCAGCCUGGAGCUGCAGGGGGAACAUGGACAUCCUCGAGCCCUUACAGCAUCUUAGGGCAGCCUUGGAGACCCAGGAUGGCUGAGCUGCCAUCAGACUUUGUACGGAGGCCAACAACUUCUGCACCACAGGAAUGCUCCUGCUCUGCUGUUUAUUCUCACAUUCGAUAGUGCAGCAGAGGCUGGACGAUUAUAACUUGUGUCAUGGUGUUUCUCAGGAGAUGUCUCCUGCAUUUAGGUUUGCUUUUGUUUUAAUGUUUCUAAACACAGUUCUGAGCAUCUUAUUUGAGCAGAGGACAAUGACACAAGAAGGUAGGUGAUCCCAAAGCUGCCUGGGAUCUAGCCAAAAGUAUCCGUGAAAAUAGCGUUUCUGUAGUCAGUGUGCUGUCCCAUGUGAAGAUGGGGGAAAUGAAGAACCUGGUGCACCUUAUCAGGGAUACUUGGCCUUUCACAGGACAGAUCUGAAGCUCUGGUGUACAGCUGUGAUUUGGGCUCGUGCUAGGAAACGCCAGUUGCUGGGAGAAAAACUGCAUUUUAUCCAAACAGCAGACAGGGUGCUGCAGUGGCACCUGGAGGACCAUGGUCAUUCAUGGUUCUCCUGCAGGCUGCCCCACCAUGGGCUGGUUGGUGCUCUGCACUUCCCAUUAGCAAUCCCUCACAUCUCUUUGGUGCCUCAGUUCUCUGAGUGUAAGGUGGAAUCAGUAUUUCCUUAUUUCUUAAGGCUGUUGUGAGGAUACACACACGCCUAUUAGCUACUCAGUGUAUAAUAACCUCUAACAUUCCCACAAAAUAAUUCAAAAUACCUGCAAACCCCAAUCCUCAACUCUCAUGGAGCAAAACUGCACUUUUCUUGCUGCUUUGUGUUUUUCCUACGUGGAAGAGGGGCCUUCCCUUAGCCCCUGAGCCAAAAACCUUGGAAAGGUCUUGAAACAAGAAAAUGCAUGUUGUCUAGAUCUUUUUUUUCUUUUCUGUGUCAGGUAGCUAAUCACCCUAGGAAAACAAGCCAUAAAUCAAUUCCAAGCCCAGCCUGUAUUCUGCCAAUCUGAAAAGCAGACUGCUGCAGGAAUGCAACCACAGGUCAUUAAAACAAUGGGAAUAAAUUGAAAAAACAACUCCAUUGUUUGUGCUUUGUCAUUCAGCAGAGCUGAAGAGACAUGAGCCUUGCAGCAAUCCCACCAUAAGCUUCACUAUCACUUGAAGACUGUGGUCUCCUGAGCAGUAAACAUGCAGAGGGCUUUGGUUUCCAGGUGCAGAUGGUUUGCAGCUCAGCUGGAGAGAAUUACGGCAGCUCAGCCUUCUCCUAUAAAGGGACUGAGGGUCCCUAGUAGAGGGUUUUUCUAUUUUUCUUCUCUGGUCUUCUAGUCUUACAGCAGAAUGAGGGCUCUUCUAGCUUUUGCUUAAGGAAGUGCUACUACUCUUUGCUUUUAGGGACAUUAAGACACUCUGUAUCCUCAUUUUUAGCAAGACAAGAAAGCACAGUGGCCAGAUGGGUUUUGUUGGGUGAGUCUGAUGCAGACCAUGGUGCCAGAGCUUCUGGAUCCCAGAAUGUCCUAAGGGGUCUUCAGCAAUCCCACCAGCAGUGAGGCUGCCCAGGGAUGGGGAGGAAGGUUGUGGAGAAGAGAUGAGUCUGUGUGAGGGCACCAGCCCCCCUCAGGGGCAAUGUAUUGAAUAACACAAGAACAAUGUUUUGUGUUGAGGUCUAGCUUCCAGCAGAUUGAGGGCUGGUGCUAUAGAGCAGUCUGUUAUUUUCCUGCACCCUUGGAUGAAGAACUGCUGAACAUGGAGGUGAAAUGGAGGAGGAAGCACCAGAGAUACAAUGCUCUUCAGAGACAUAAUGUGCUCUUCACACAAACAGCACUUGAUGUACCUGCACAGAAAGCUGCAGUUAUUCCAUAAAAGCAGUCACUGAGAAGGGGCAGCUGAUGACCAACCGCUGCCGAAAGCGAUGCCCACUCUGGCUUGUUAAAGACCAUCCCACUGCCAGCACCCACCAGCGACAUCUCCACUGCCUUCCAUCAAAGGGAAAGGAGCAGUGCCAGAAGGUGAUUCUGAAGCCGGAGAAACUCUGCAGAGAUCCAUGGUGGAGUCAGUGGAACAGCACAGGAAGCACUAAUGUGGGUGAGAAAUGGUCUUGAAUCACUGAACACGUUGUUUGAGCUAUAACGAUUUUGUGAUUUUUGACUGAGAACUUUCUGCCUGAAUCAUAAAAAUAAAUAAGGGUCCUGGAGCACCACGGUUUCAUGCCAGCAGCCAAGGAGAUGAAAUCAUGAGACUCUGAAAUCCAGAGCUACUCCCAGGUUUGGCAACUCCCCUCUGCAGUCAGGAAUGAAAGCCCCGUGCCAAGCCAGUCACAAAUUAUCAACAAUCCCAGAAACGGUGAUUUCUUUCCCAUCCCCUGGCCUUUUUCUUUUCUCUUAAAUUGCUCCACGUCUUGUGUUUGCCUUUCUCUGGUAUCUGUGGCAUCUCCAGCCGGCUUCUGACCAUCUGCAGUAGGGGACGAGCACGUGUCAGCACCAUUUCUCCCACUGGGUGCCUAUGGAGCUGGGAUGUGACAGGCUGGAUAGUGAGGGGUCUGAAUUGCUUAUCACAGGGAGAUGUUGUUAUACUCACAACACCUACAUGAGACAGCUAUAGUAGCAGUCAGAAUCUGGUCCAACAGCAAUAAAAAUGAAUAAUACUAAUUUCUGCAAUUAUUUACCACUCAGAGGCAAAUUAGUCAUCUCUUUGCCAUACCUGAGACAGUAGAUACCACAAAAUAUCUUCAGUGCUAUCUAGCUACUAAGUUAGUUGAAGAGAUAAAUUUGCAAAUAGCGCUAAUUGUCAUAAGGCUCACCAGCGGCAUGAUGUCCUGUUGCACCAGCUGAUGCUCUGCCCUCAGGGGUCUAAUCAAGAUGGUAAUGAAUGCCACAGAGAUAAUUUGUAACUGCGGAAAACUCUGCUUUCAAUGGAUGUUUAUCUAAAGUACUGCAAAGUGAACUCCUCAGAACGAAGGAGGAACAAUAGCACUUUUUGGCUUAACUUUUAAUUUCAUGAAGACAUAAAGAAGCUGCAAAACAGUAUCUGCUUUGCUGUCUAAUUGCCUUGGGUUUUGUGCCAUGCCCAUCACAGAGGUACUGGAAUGUUCUGGCCCCUGAUUGUCAGUUGUCUCCAGGACUGCUGGACUUUUAUAGAAAAUACAAUAGUCUUCAAAUUUACUAUGGAUCCAUUUUAGUGGUGAUGACAUCACUGACCGUCUGUGAUGACUGCAUCCACGAUGGACGUUCACACUACAACCAAGCGUACAUUCUUCUGAGCAAUACAGCAAACACGUACCUGGAUAACUCUUACUGACCCAUCACUGUGUCCAACUGAAAAUUACAGCAACCAACUGACUGUGUGAAACAUGCAGAAAUGGAGAUGUGAGCUGAGGGAACACAGCUGGGGCUGCCUGCAUUAGGCUCUCAGCACAACGAGCAGCGGCUGCAAGAGGCAGGGGAAUGUGCUGGUGUUUUCCUUUUCCCUCCCCUAGACCAGAUCAUGGACCAUUGCCACACAGUCUGGUAUGUCCUGGACCACGCAAAAAGCUAAGAAAAGCAAAAUACUGUUAAUUUCAAAAUGAGGUUGUUUUCAUGACAUACUGUACUUUGGUGAGGUUAUUCCAUUUACAGUGUAAUUUGUCUAGAUAAAACCUGUCUACAAAUGACCUUAUGGUCUGGGUAUGAUGCUGAUAGGGGAUACACACACGCUUAUGUUCCCACAAUGUCAAAAAGCAAUGCUUGGCCGAGGAUCAGCUCCACGGAUGGAGCAGGCGAGCGACCCUGCCCACUCUGCAGGCUUGGUCCUGCUCUGGAUGCACAUUCAUGAGGUGAAACCAGCCCCACCAAGGAGAGCACAAGGACAGUCCGUGGCUGUUAGGGCAGCACACAUCUGGCAGCAAUGCCAACCCUGCUGAUGGCAGUGGGACAUAUGUCAGAAGAGAUCGGUGUCUGCCAGAGCAAGGUGAGGACCUUCAUCUCAUCUUUGGAAGUUCUCACUACCUUAAUGCUGGAGAGUUUAUCAAAGCAAGACCAGAUUAUCUCCAGGAGCAAUCAGAGUUGGCAAUUUCAGGGAGCCCAGGCCAGCUUCUACCAGCUGACAAUUUGUCCAUAGCAUCACAAUCAGUGGAAAACUCUUUGGAGUAUAUUAAUAAUAGAAAUUAGUGUUGAGGACGAUAUUCAUCUUUACGCAUAUGGACCUCGGCAGUGUGAGGUGAGGCUCAAAAGGAGCAUCCGUGUAGCACCCAGGAGGAGACUUUUAGUCAUUACUUAAUACCUUUCAGGGUGAAAUCUUUAAUAGAUCCUCUGUGGCAAAAGCUGGCAGUUCAAGCAGAGAAGGGCUGCAACCCUCAGGUGUGCCUCUGAGCUGGAAUUACCAUACAGACACUUAAAUAAAAAUAAGAGCAGUGCUAGAACCUGACACCACAUCUCAAUCCUGUGCUGAUUUACACCAGCCAAAAAGAGACCUGACCUGCAGGGCCAAAUCUGGCCCAUGGCUAUAUCCAGGCAGCUGUGGUGAUUUAAAAGCUCUGUCACUGUCAGUCACCAGUGGGUCUUAUUGAAGGCCAGAUUUAUCUUGUAAUCUGCACUAGGAGGUGUAAACUGCUACUGCUGCUCCCACACAAAAUAAAUCAGCCCAACGCAGAUGAGAUCCGGUAGCUUCAAGCGUCAGCCCUUGCUCUGUUUUACACAACUUUACACUAAAGUCAGUGGUGGCCAAAUGCCAGCAGAAACCAUCCCCUCUCACUAAUGCGGUUGAUACCUCAGGUUAAUGUCAGAGGGACUCUGAGAGCAGGGUGGCAUCAGGGGUCAGUUUGGGGACCUUCCUCCUCUGUGGGCUAUAGCCAGGGAGGUCUGUAAGCUUUUCAGGGGCAGAAACAAGCCUUUUGGUCAGGCUGAUGCUCCACCUGGUGCCUCCAGGCUGCCAGUCCCCAUCUGGAGUUUCCCUGUGCUUGUGGUGGUGGGAGUGAGCUCUCCUGUGGGGAGUGUGAUGGAGCAGCACCACUGUCCUGCCCAGGGAGGGGACCCGCUUGGCUUGGCAGAGCCUGUGGGAACCUGUGAGCACAUGGGGUUACUCAACCUUUAGGCUCACAGUUAAUUUAGGCGUCCUUCUCUGCUACUGAAAUAGGCUAACGAAAGCCAGGAAGAAAGAUAGUAGCAUAAUAACCGCCCAAAUCUAAGCAGAGGGAAAAUAUGUCUCCGAUUCUUCACAUCCCUACUACAAGCUUAUUAUUUCAGCAUCUCUCCCUUUUUGGGAUUUUUUUUUAUCACAGAAAAUGAAGAACACUCACUAUUUUAGUCCUGCUCAGCACACACCUUCACUGCCACAUCGCUGUCCUGGCACAUUCACUUUGCAGACAAAGCAAAACGCACAGGACACAGGCAAGUGUUAAAGCUCAGCCAGCAAAGGGAGCAUGGGAUUUGGGGGCACAUCAGCAAAACAGUGAUUGCUCCCUGCUAAAUGGGGUGGCCAUUGCAAGGGGUGAUUGGGAGCUAGAAGGAGGAUGAUGCUGGUUGUGUGGAUGUGCAGGGCAGGCUGGUGGCAGCCCAUGAAAGCCCACACCGUUAAAAGGAGUUUUCAAGGGUUGUGCUGCAGUCUGCGCAUUCCUCGGUGUCGGGUGAAGCCACAGGGGCUUGGCAGAGCGGUGGCAGCUACGCCCGCUCCCUCCGCAAAUAGCGUUGCAAUUUCAGGGAGUGAAAUAACGUGCUGGUGCUGCCAAAAGCCACCGCAAUUAUCAACAGUGUAAGUAAUCAAGUAAAAGCACUUUUCCACAGCCGAAUGACCAGAUUGUCAAGCAUGCAAAGAGUAGUAGCUAAAACUGAUUGCAGCUCACAUGGAUAAUUUCUACCAGAAUUAUGUUAUUGUAUUGGAACAGUAAUGCAUAAUGUAUGGCUGUGCAUCUCUGCAAUAAACAUUUUACAUUUAAUUUAGAAAUCUCCGAGUCAUUAGAAAAGUUCUUUCAUUAUGUUGCAGAGACCUUUGUGGAGUCAGCAACAGCAGAGUCCUUAAAAAAAAAAAAGUUCAUGAUGAACGGGAUCAGACGUGCAAAAUACCUGAGCUGGGAAAAGGAGUGGGAGCUGCGUGCUGUGUGCCAGCCUGCUCUGCACACUGUCCUGUGCGGGCAGCCCAUCCCAGCGGGACCCUGACACCCCACCUUCAGCACUCAAACCCUGCCGCUGCUCCCGGUCACUCCCUAAACUGUCAGGGAAGAGAGAAAGAGGCAAUUCCCUGGGGCAGUUCAGCCAUCUUAACAUUUAAAUCACCUUAUGGGGUUGCCGGCGCCAAGGCAGGAACACCCAGCGGGGGCCAGGAGCUGUGCAGAAAGUGGAGGUCUGUGCUCCGCACUGAAGACAUGUUGUUGUGCAACAGGUUUGAAGCAGCAGAGGAAAAGUCAACAUGUCUGAUCCUGAAGCACUUGCAUAUGUUUAACUUCCAUGGGAGUCAGGUGAAAUUGCCAACUAGGUGGAGAGUUGCACCCAACGUGUGCAGAAGGUGGUUCCCAUUGGAAUGUGCUGUGAGUUGUUGGGCUGGUACAUAGAGACACUGCAUUUUACAGGAGGGGGGUUCACCGUUCUGCAUAAAAGUCACCCUCCUCCCUGCAUUAGCUCAUCUCUCUUCCCCAAUGCACAACAACCCUUUGCAUCUCCCAGAGGACUUUUUCCUUCAGUAGUGUUCUAUGGCCCAAUGUGAGGAGCAGUCAGAUGGAUCUUAUUGUUCGGGUCCUUCCCUCGAGCCCUUCAUGCUGACAGCAGCUCGUGCAGUUUGCUUGCUGCUGCUCAGCAGGGUGGAUCAGCUGGACACGACAGCAAGCUCACCCAAAACGUGGCGCUCGGUGCUUGAUUUAAUGCGAAAAGCAAAACCACCUCCACCGUCUGAGGACCCAGGUCUGAAUAGCCCAUGUGAUUUUUUUGAUAUCUGAAAAUGGGAUGACCAAAAUGCUGCUUGCGGGUAGAGCUGCAGAAUGUGAUCCUGUGGUGCUGCAGGGCGCUCCGUGGACCCUUCAGAAACCACGGGUCCCUGAAAUGAUGUGCAUUUGCCAGAGUCAGCAAAAGCAGCCUACAGACAUGAACUUCAUUAUUUCCUAUAUCCAUAUACUCUUUAAAUUGCUCUCUUUUUUUUCUUCCUCCAAGUGUUACAUCACUGAAUUUUACUUGAUAAUCUUUCCUCUCCAUGGACAAGGAAGGUUUUGGAGGCUUUAGGGUAAUAAAAUAAUUGGGAAAAAGAAAUGUGAUGGGUUUUUCAGGUACUGUGCAGCAUUGCGUAAUGGCAACUAGGAGGUACAAGUGCUAUUUCUAGCUCUGAUGCUGCUCUGUCCUGGGACCUCUUUCUACAUCGCUUCUGCUUCCACCUUUGUGGAGGGGCUCCAGCUGCCACCCCCUCUGCAGAGGCACUUACUGCCCAUCAAAGUACCUCACACAGCACAAAAGAGGCAUUUACAUUAGCAGGGUGAGGAACUGGAGAUCUUUGUCAUUAUCUAAAUAUUAGCAGAUUUAAUAUUUGUUGUUCUCGGAUUCUUGUCCAACAGCCUGUGCAGCUUUCCAUAUAAAGACAAAAAGUCAAUCAAUAUUUAGCACAGCCACAGCAUGCUAUUAAUUCCUCCCUGAGAAAGGGUUUUACCAAAGCUGAAUUACAGGAAAAAUCUGCAGAAAUUAUAGUGAUUCCAGACUUCAGUGGAUAUUACUGGGAAAGAGUGGCCGUAUGGACUUCCUACCUACCAUCAGUUACCAGCAACACAAGACACUUCACUCCUGAGAUGCACACUCAGCUUUGGGUUAAAAAUAAAUAAAGGAAGGAAAGAAAAGCACAGUGAUUAUUUGUGUGUAGCUGAUUGGAACGCUUGCUGACUCAGCAAGAAAGUGGCAGGGUUGGUCUUGUUCAGGCCCAUGGCAAGGGGCUGUGGCUUUGCCCCCUGUUUCUGGAAGAUGCUCUUAGCGAGGCAAAGGAGAAAAUACAACAGGGAGUUAACAGCAAAGCAAAGCGCAGUUCACAUAAGGACUAAUAAAAUGCAGUUCUCAUGUACAAGACCUGUAGGGAGAUCCUGUGCACGGUGCCAAAGCCUCACUUUCUAUGUCUUAGGUGGAAGAUGGGGAUAAUGAUACUUGGCUCCUCUGUGUUUGAGACAGAUGGAGGAUACCUGCACCAUGUCUGCCCUGAGCGAGCAAACAGUCUCACUCCCCCGGCCACUUGUGUCAGGGUCUGCUCAGCUGAGAGGGGAGGUUUGCAGCCUGGAUCUGAGCGUUUUGCUGGUAUUAAUUAUGCUCACAAUCAAAGCAGUACAUGAGUCAGUGGGAAUCUGGCUGUGGCAGAAAAGAUGGUGUCAUGUAAAUGCGUCAAAUGAUGAGGCGGCUUCUCCCACCCAGGACAUCAAUCACCCCAGCGGUCCCACCAGCCCCACGGGGACAGCUGCCCAGGAUGCCUGGUACAUGGAUUUGGGAUCCUAAUAGAGCCAUUGGUGCGAGGCAGCCACGGAGGAUGCCAGGCUUUGGGGCACAGCGUGGCACAGGAGACCCUCAUCCCUGGGGCUGCUGGGGAUAGGGGUGGUAUGAGGAGAUGUGAACUGUCCUCAACCUCCAGCUCAAAGCUGCAGUUUUGGUGGCCCUUUGCUCUAUUUUGGGCAAAGUGUGAAUGCUGGGUGCCCUUACACAGCCCUCCUGAGUCAGUGGGAUGGGGCUGUGCAAGGGUAGGGGAUGGAGAAUAAACCAGACACCAGUGUGUGUGUGUGCACGUGUGGCAAUUCAAGCACCACCUCAUGUCCCUGCUUUAUUUAUUCUGUGAAAUAUAAAACCACAUAGAAGAUGUUUGAGGUUAUCUGAAUGUUGAAAUAAGUUAAUCUCUCCUAAACAAAUGAUCUACUUCUGACUCAUUUCUAAGAAACUUGGGCUCCUAUGACCAAGCUUCCUUUACAGUCAUCAGUGAUUUUUAAAUUAUAAACUGAGAGAACAUAAUUUUCAGUGAAAGAUGCCUCCUGUGCAUGUUCUGAGUUUGAUUUAACAGCAGGAAGACAAAACUGAAAUAUUUGAGUCCAUAACAAUUAAUGGUUAUAUUCUGGGAUUUACAGCUGUAUCACAGUUCCCAUCUCGGGUCCCCUUUGGUUUUUUUCACUGUUAAAAAACACAAGCCUUGCAUAUCUUUACACUCAGUAAUUGCCUCCACAUACAUGCUAACUUUACAGAGAUGCACUGUUUUUCAAGACCCAUGAAAGGCUUUGACCUAUAAAAUUCAAUUUCAAAUUGUAAGAAUCCCCUGGCCACCAUAGGCGCUGGUGACAAACUAAUGUGUUAUGUUCCAUAACAGUCUGUUUUGAGUACUGGCUUGACCUAUAAGUGUUCUGGAUACAGCCUGACUAAAAUGGGUUUUAUUAUUUUCCAUUAGUGCCUGCCGCAAGAAAAUCAACUGGCAGUCCACAGGGGAAAUAAAAGUAUUUUUCUCCUCUAGAUAGCAUCUGCUGCAAAUGUAAACGGACCCUUUCCCAGCCCUCUCCUUCCUUCGGUUUCCUUCCAGCCUUCUGACAUGACCAAGUUUCCCAAGGUUAGUGCUUUGGUGUCAAGCCCCGAGGCAGGGCGAGGGCUGGGGAUGCUCCGCGGCCCCGCAGGACCCGCUGCUGCCCUUGGGUGAUGCUCCAUCAAAUCCCCGGCCAGGAGCUGGCUGAGGAGAUGCCAAGCCAUGGCAGCGCAGGAGGAGUGCGGCCAGGUGGUGUUUCCCACAUCUGCGGUUGGACUCGCUGAGAUUAGAAACUUUCUUUUAUUUCCCUAGGCUACUCACGCUCAUGCUGCUGUGGGGACCCAUGCACCCACGGUAUUACCCAUCACACCACGCGAUUCUGGGCAGACCCCCAUGUCUCUUUGCACAGGCGUGGUGGGACAGGGCUGCUGGCACCUUUCGCAGCCUCAUCUGCUCUUGGGCGUCGUGGCUGCAUGGGCACCCCCUGCCCUCUCCCAUCAGAGACACCCACCGGCUGCAGCCCAAUCCCACCUGGUCCUGCCCCCCAUCCUGGGAGGAACACGUGCCCCUCGGGUUUUGCUUCUACCUGGCUUUUUCUGUCCCUCCCCAGAGACAACUUCCCAGCAGCACCCACCAAGCUUGUUUGCCCUCUUUUCAUUUCCCAAAACUUCUUCUUUUUUUUUUGAGGCAAAUUAUUCAGUUAAAAAAAUCCCCCAGCAUUAAAAUCUGCGUCACGUCAUCUUGUCUCAGUAAAACAAUGACAUUUUCCCCUCUUUGAUGCUCAGAUCUAGCUCUGUGGGAAAUUUUACUACCAUGACUCUUUCAUCUCUCUCCUGGUUUGAAGAUAAAUGAUCCUUGGACUCUUCUGGACCUGCAUAAAUCACAAAAGCAAUCUACUAAGAGAGCUGCCUGUGGCACCGACUUUAGCUGAAAUCGAAAAGGACAGUCAAAAAUAUCCAUAGUGCUUACACAAGGAGUAACAGAGCCUGGGUAAUCGGAGCAACGUCUUUUCCUUUUGGUAAGCAGGACCACAGCAUGGAGAAGAGCAUGAUGGUGGGACUGUGGCACUGGGGGAAUGACAGCCCUGGGACAACAUCCUCAGAGGUGCUGAGCAUCAACAGUGAGAAGCCACAAAACUGGGUGACUUCCAAGGACACGCGACUCACUCCCAAAGACAAACAGGUCCUGGCACAUCCUGCCAGACCACUGAAUUUGGUCCCAGGUGUCAGGUGUAUGUGGCACUAUCCCUUUCCUAACUGCAUCCAGCUCUGCCUGCUGCUUGUGGAAGAGGGGAGUUGCUUCCCCAUUUGAUUUCUGAACAAGACACUGAAGCCAGCAUGGUGUCACCUUUGGGGAUUCAAGUAUGGGGUUUUGGAGAUGCAGCUCACCUUAUAUUACAAACUGAUUUCAGCCUUUGCUGAGGUUUUGUAAGCAGGAUGGAGGAAUGCAAAUGGCUGCUGCUGGGUUGGUCUCAGCAUCAUCUUUUCUAACAAACUUCCCCUAAGGGUCUGAUGUGAUGGAGGUGACAGACAAUGCACCCAAAACUUGGCUCAGGAGUGGGGUGACAGUCUCUGGGAAAGACCUCUCCUGCUCGGAAACCCCAUGAGAAACCAUGGGGGAAGAAGGGCAGCACAUGGCCCAGGAAAAGCAGGUGGUUAAUCUCGUAUUUCUUUGCUCAAGGCUGAUGUGGCCAAGCUGAAGCUGGGAGUACACAGGGAAAAAGAUCCCAUCCACUGUGCUUACUUGAGGAGAUGGCUACAGAAUGGGCAAUGGUGGCCAGUUCACAAGCUGCCAGAGCAAAUGUAGCUUCAGCUGCACCUGGACUAAAGCAAAUCUUCUGUUGCAUGAAGGCUUGAACAUUAAUUGUCCCCAAGCACAGCUGCAACCUGCCAGUGCUCUGGGAUGGGAACUGAGGAAUGGCAUACGCUGGCAGGUUGCAGCUGCAGCAAACACUGCUCCAGCAGCCUCCAGUACAGCCAGCAACUGCUCCUGGGUGACUUGUGCUUUUCCGUGGGUGGGAGUGUGGGUUGCAGAGCUAUUUUUGUAUCUCCCCUUGCUUUCACCCGAUUGCAACCGGAUACCGCAAGCCCCAUCCUCCCUGAGCAAAGUGCACAGCAUUGCUAAUGCAAAGCACUGUACGCUUGCAGGCAAGGAGGCGGGGGGGUUCUCAUUUCUUUUUUUUUCCUUAAGCAAAUUUUUAAAGCCUUAUUUGCCAAGUAGUUGCAUUGCUCAUCACACCUCGUAAUUCGGGAACAUCUGCAGAGAUCAUUCAUGCAGCAUUGUUCCCCAUUAACGAAGGUGUUACCUUGAAACUGAAUUUAGCACAAACCUCCACGACACUCCACUCCUUCCAGUCUGAUACAGCAUUUCAUGAUCCCGUUUCCACUCAUAAGGUUCAGAUCUGUGGCAAGGUAAUUUCAGUGCAUACACAUACCUGACUAUUAAAAUAGCUUCUUACAACAAAGCAUCACCACCCAGUACAGUGAUCACCCUACCAGUGAGUUAGGAAGCACCCUUGAUGAGUAGCAAGAAGCAUCAAAUUAAUAACUCAAAGCUCUUCACAAAGGUUUACAGGUUUCCCACGCCGGGAUAUCUUAACUGAAGCCUCUAAAAAUCAGGCCUGAUUUUCAUGGUUGCAUGAUUUUUUGUAGAAUCAUAGAAUGUCCCAAGUUGGAAGGGACCCACAAGGAUCAUCGAGUCCAACUCCCGCCUUUCUCUUUUCUGACUUGAAAAAACUUGGAAUAGUUUGUGUGGCAUUUUCCACAUGUGGAAUUACUGAUCUAUUUUGGGUUUUUUCUGUCCUUUUAUUUGGGUACAGCCAAAUAACAGCCUCUUGCCACAGUGUAUUUGUGGGAAAUGCCAAAGGGAUGUCAGCCUGGAAUGAAACCUCUUGAGCAGGAGGAGAACAGCCAGGAUAGAGAAAAUGGCCUGAAAAGUGAUGGAUGGAAAGACAGGAGGAGGAGGAGGGAUGAAUAUUUCCCCUUCAGCAGGGUGUUGCAUGUGUGGAAGGGAUAAUACUGGCUGUGACAUUUUGGUCUCUUCAAGAUGGAUUUCUGGUAAGCCUUUGUGUCCCCAUUGACACUGGGGUCACUGGGACCAUUGGGCUCCACAGUUCACCCCCGAAAUGAAGCUCUCCCCAAAUCUUCCCACAGCCCAGGGAAGGAUUUGCCUGUUGUGCUCACCUCAUGUGGGGUUUGCAAAGAGCUGUGGGAGUAUUUUCAGCAUUUGAAUGAUUUUCCUAAUGUCUUCACUACAAAACAGAGGGACCUACAUGAAAUAAAACCCAGGGGAGUCAAGGGAGGCUUGCUUGGGCUCCUGUAUGUGAUGUAUUUGUUGAAUGCUGCACAAAAAAUGUGUAAUUCUUUUGUGCCCAUGCUGUGGAAAUUCACAGCAGUGUCACCUGCUGUAAAUCAAUGGAUCUGAUAAGAUCUGCCCCCUGUAAAGUGGAUUGAGCUUCUGUGGCAGAAGAAUAUGAUAAAUCUACCAGUCCAUGCCCACAGGUAAAAGACAAAUAUGCAGGACACAAACUACACGUAGGAGAUGAGGGUCUUUGAAUCUUUUGGUGGCUUCAUUCACAGAAAAUGAAAUCUUUAGGUCCUGAAAAAAGCCAUGUUUCAAUGCAGAAGAGAGAGCUGCAAACUGGCAUAACCAGCCAGUAGCUACAUUCCAUAUCUUUAGAUCAAUUUUCACCCAGAAUAGGGGAAGAAAAAGAAAGUGAACAUGUUCCAUGAGCAGUGGCUGGAGCACAGCUCUGAUUCAGCGAGAGCAGCCCAGGAGGUGCUGCAAGAGGGGCCGGUGGGGCAGGGAUGUCAACCUAGAGCCAGGGUCAGAGUCCUGCAGCUGUUUCUUUUCCACAAGACAAAUAUGUUAAUUCGGCAGAAAUUUCCUUUUCCUUCAGGUGAUUUUCAAUGAGAAAAAUACCUCUGGGCUUCAGAGUUUACUGAAUGCUCAUGGGAAUGAGUGCUGGUCGAGUCCAAUGACCUGUCCAGGAGGCUGAGCUAGAGGCCAACGGCAGCUUUCUUGCUCAGACGGUGUUUUCAGAGCUGCAGGGCUAUGGACCCAGCCUCCAUCCCACAUUCAUUUGCAUGUUUGUGAUUUAUCGAGCAAACCUCUGUGGGCUCUAGGGUGCAGUUUUAUUAAAAUAUCCUUUUUCCCUAACUCAAAAGGAUGGUUACAAAACAUACUGAAAUCUGUUUUUCACUCUUUAGGGCUUCCAGAACUUUGUGCUCAUCUAUCUUACGUUAUUUUUCUUUCUAUUUGUGGUUUUGAGGUCAUGGCUUCAGAAAUGUUAACUCUUCAAAUGAUGUUCAGAGCCAAAACCAAAUUCUUUGUGCAGGAAAUACCAAAAUUUCUACUGGUGCCUCACAGCUGAAACACAUGGAAAUGAAUAGAUGGUAACUGAUCUAUCUCUCUGAUCAAAACGUACCUUGGCAAAAAUAUGUACGGAUGGAAAACGUUGUAUGAUGGUGCUGGGUGGAUAACACAAACACACACAAACUUUCCCACAAAUAUUUGCUUGUCUUAAAUUAAUCUGUUUGGCUCUGCUCAUGGCUCUCCAGAGUUUAUUUUCCACAAUUAUUCUAACAAGAGCUUGUUGGCAAGAAUACACAUAGAAAGCACUCGAGGUAAUAUCUGAGGAAACUAUUUCUGAAGGUCCAUUUUAAGGCCAGGAACCCUAAACCCCUGCUAUUUUAAUGCCUUUGGACUUACCAGCCCUGAGGAAAGGGCAACAUUCCCCUUGGACGAGGUUAGGUCUGGGUAUGUGGCUCUGAGUCAGGAGUCGGAUCCUCGUUCUCCUUCUGCUCUGGGGAAGAUGUUGAUUAACCAGCGACAGCUGGUUACCCUUUUGGGGAACAUGCAUUAUUUUGAAAGCAUUUUGAUGGAAGUAGGUAUUUCACUGGCAAAGAGUUUCAGUCUUAUCCUAUCAGCUCUAUUAAUAGUACUUAGCACUUAUUCAGGUAUCUUCACCAGAGUUUCUCAAAGCAAAUUAUGAAAAUGUAUCAUUAGCCCUACUCUAGAUCAGUCUGUCUAAAGCUGAGCUGGAAAGUUUUUAAUUUAACUUCUAAAUCACUGUUGUCAACACUUGUACAGUCAAGAAACAAAACAAUUUCUCAUGACAUAUGUCAAAAUUAGGCAACACAAAGUGGCUACAGUCCCCCAGGCCGGUCAGAGCACUGUGCCAGGAAUCAAGAGAUUCCUCUCUGCCACCACCUUCCCCUGGGGCUGUUUGCAAGUCUCCUCAUGGCACGUUUUUCUUUCCUCCUCCUUUAGGCUGCAGGGUCUGUUUAGACUGGAAAUCCUCUGGAAAAAGCACAGUGCCCUACUACUGCCAUCACCACUAAUGCUACAGGGUGGAAGAGCCAUGCAAAUUAUUUCAGAACCAGAGAUGUGACAAGGUGGAAGCACAAAUCACAAGCGUUUUUGCAGAAACGCUGUUUGAAAUCAUUUUAGCAACUCUUUUUGGGUUUUAACAUCUUUAAAAAAAAUUAAACAGCACCAAAAAUUACUCAUUGGACUUACAUAAAAGAAUGACUCUUGCAAAGCGUGAUCACGAGCAGUCGUGAUAUUAGCAGCUACCUCUUCAACAUUAUGGUUACACAGGCAUUGAAUGAGAAAGGCAGAAGGGUAUGUUUGUAAAGGAAACCAAUUUUUUACAGGUUACUCCCUCCACAGUGGGAGACCACAGAUUGAGAAGCGCCGACUACCCUUCCGGUAGCAAUAAUGCAAUUACGCUAUUCAUAGAGAGGGAGAGAAAACACCAGCUGAUUUUCUUUGCAUUAUAAUCUGUUAACCUCAGAAUUAACCUUGCUGGACACAGAUCUGUUAACUUUUACCAUGCCUCUCCAAUUAAACUAUUGAAGUCUGAGACAGAAAUAACUACCCACAGCUGCUAUGAAUUGAUAUGUUCCCUGACGAUGCCUGGCAGUGCCUGCAGAAAAACACAGAAAAGUUUCCUAUUUUAUUCUUUGCCACAAAGUUAACCUGUUUGUUUUGUUUUGGUUUGGUUUGGUUUGGUUUGGUUUGUUUUUUUUACUAUUUUUAAUAUUCUUUCAUUGCACACUGAUAGUAUUAUACUGCUCUGCUUUGCUUUGCUUGGAAUGGAAGGCAGACAUGCUGCUUUAGUACACUCUGUAACGGUAACUUCAUACCUGAUAUUUUUGUUUUAGAAAAAGGAAGGGUGGAGGGCGCUUGCAGGGCCCCAUAGCUCCGAAUGCAUCAAAUUACACCAGAGCAUGCACUGCAGUUCCAGCGCUAACUAGGAGCUGCAGACCCUCAGAUGUUCUCUGAUCAGCUGGUAAUGACAGAAAGAAAUGGACAGAUCCACGUGAGGCCAACCUCCUGAAAACACGUGCUCAGGCACAGCGGCAGCCACUGUUUUAGUGUGUGCUCAGAACAGAAAUCCCCAAGUCUACAUAAAGCAGAAAAAUGGCAAAAUCCCCAAACCUGCAAAGCCACCUCUGCAAACUGCUUUAGGUAUGCACCAGGGAAACGUAGAUCUUUAGAAACACAUGAAGUGAGGUCUCUUUGGUCUUUCCCACACCCAUUUAGGGCUCCUGCUCGGUGGCCAUCAUUGCUGAAGGACAUUUAAGCAGUGGUUGAACGUCACAUCUGUAAAGUAAAGCUUUCAUUUACCUUUUGGAGCCUUGGUUGAAAAAUUAACUUAAUUACCAAUAGUCAGAUUAUGUCCUUGGGACAUAAAGCAUGAUUACAGAAAACUAAGUAGGGGAAGAUGUUUAAAGUGAGAACAUUGACAGCGAAAACCACACAAAUCGCUGACUCGGUGGCAAAAACAUUUCUAUGGUACAGACGAAGCAGUGUAGCUGCCAGGAUCUUCUGCACAGCCCUUGGCAGUGAGACAUCCAGACACAAGGGACUUGCCUGCAACCUUCUUGGACUACGAAACACUCAAGCCUGCCCAUGCAUGGAGCCAAGCAGAAGUAGUGGCACUUUGGGAAGUCUCAGCAUUGCAGGGUACCCUGGGGUGGGAAACCCACCAACCCCAGAUCCACGUGCCCCACUCGUGGGGCUGUGCCCUGUGCUCUCCGCAGGUUGUCCAUGUGGGGGGACCCCUCGGCACAGCUGCUAUGCCAGCAGCACAAAACCAGCCACAAUCCUCCACCUGCAGAGGGGCUGGUGUCCAGUACUGAUGGGGCUUGGUUUUCUUGUCCGUGAUCUCCAAUGUUGCCUCGUUUCAGAACAAAUGAAAGGGUUGAGUGUCUCUAAAAGCUCCAGAUAACUUGUGUUUUCCCAUCUUAUGUUCCAUGCAUUACUCUUUUGUUUGCCUUCCCUUGCCCUGCAUUGAGAGGGGAGAUUACAAGUUACACCAUCAGCAGCCAAGCAAGGUCUAAGCCACAAGGAAGGAUCUGAGUCAUCUCCCUGAGAGAAUAUUUUAGCCAUACAUCAUUGUUUGUUUUCAGGCACACCAGUACAAUUAUGCAACAUAAAUUCUUUUAAAGCAUUUGGGACUUCAGUUCAAUUUAAAAUCCUGUAGGUUUUAUGGCCAGAAUGAGUGAUUACUAAGUGUGUGCAUACAAAUGAAGACUUAGGAAGAAGCGUGUGGGGAGGAUUAAAGGGCACAUGGAGCAUCAUGCACACUGGGGAAGCUCCAGCCAGGCUGUAACAGAGGAUGGCAGAUCUGAAGAGCCCUCGUCAAAAGAGAUGUUUUGCUCCUGAGCACGCCGUGUUUCGGCUCGGGGCCUGCCCCCGCCACCCCCACCGAAAUGCGUGACGGGGACCCAGAGCAUCCAGCCAGAGCCGAGCUGCUGCACCAGGCUGGGGGGGCGAUUUUGGCUGUGCACAGCCAGGCCCAGCUGCUCCCUGCAUCCACAGACAGCCCUGGCUCUAUCACUCUCUAUUUUAUGUGCACUAAGGUAAUAAAAUAAUCAUUUCUAAAUUUAACUAGCAUUACAUAAUGCAGCUAUUUAUUAUGUAAAGCUGCUGUUUACAAUGCCCAGAAUAUUGAUCACUAUAAAAAAUGCAAUGCAGCUAGAGCUCGUAUAAAUUAAUGUUACUGUUUUCCUUUAUUUUUGUUUAAAGGAUCAAUCAAAGGUCUAAUUUGUUCUCGUGAAUUCACCUCUGCAAAGCACGCAAAGCACCAGGCAGUGCUUUGUUUACUGUCAUUCAGGCUCAUGUGCAGCACUCAGCUCAGAAUCUGGCAGAGGAUAUGUAAAGAUGACAAUUUGUUCAUUAUCCAAACCAUUGGAAAAGGCAAAUAAAGCAUACUAACCUGCUUUAUUUCAAAUCAGGUCUGUUGUUGUUGUUGUUGUUGGGGUUUUGGUUUGGUUUGGUUUUGUUUCUCAGCUAUAAAGCAGCCGUGGCAACCACUUAAGAAUUCCAGCAUUAUGACUGUAUAUCAUCAUUAUCAUCUACAGUAGAUUAUGAAUAGGUAUUUUCUUACACUAGCACAUGAAGCCUGAGAAAAUGAAAGAUGUUUUCCUAUUCUUUAGGCCUUUUGGGGGUAGAAGGAGGCAUGGAAAAAGAGAAUUAAAUAUUAACAGAGCAAACAGAUCACUAAGCAAAAAACAAUUAAAUAGCACAGCAUCCAUUCAACAAUAACACCAAAUCAUGAUGCAACUGCUGAGUGUGGGGUGACUUACUAAUCAUGGAUUAAAAGGACUGAUUUGUGUCUCAUGAGUAUUCACGGGCAAAACCUGAUACGUGCAAACUGAUCUCAGGAAAUAUGUUUUGCAGGAAACAUGAGGUUAUACUAGCGUCUGGGCAAAAUGAUGAUGGCUUUUCUUGACUGUGCCUUAGGGAGAAAGGAAAUAUUUACCUUUUAUCUCCUACUUUCUUUUGUUGUGGAGUUGUUUUCUGCCUCUCUACCAAAUGAGACAUGUUUGUUUGGGUUUUUUUCGCAUGCCCAUUCUUGUACUUGCCUGUACAAAUACAUGUGAACAUGAAAAACACUCCCAUCAUUUGAUGUCACCCAGAAAACCAAAGGUUAGAAUGAACCGUGGAGCGUGCCGUCGAGGGCAAUAUUCCUCUAAUGGCAUCCAGUAGUCGGUGUUUCUGAAGAUGAAUCACCCCCAUAAACAGAGAAUGAAUCCAGAGAAUAAAUCCAGCCCCGUACCAGAUGUGCUGUCAGCAAUUACACACGGCUCAUCACAUGGCGA